UAGCCGUAAACGAUACUCGCUAGGUGUCGGCCACGGUGCGACCGUUGUCGGUGCCGUAGGGAAGCCGUGAAGCGAGCCACCUGGGAAGUACGGCCGCAAGGCUGAAACUUAAAGGAAUUGGCGGGGGAGCACCACAACGGGUGGAGCUUGCGGUUUAAUUGGAUUCAACGCCGGAAAUCUUACCGGGACCGACAGCAACAUGAAGGCCAGGCUGAAGACUUUGCCGGAUUAGCUGAGAGAUGGUGCAUGGCGUAGUCGUGU
rnacentral:rRNA from 1 species